rnacentral:rRNA from 1 species
UGCCAGCAGCCGCGGUAAUACGAAGGGGGCGAGCGUUGUUCGGAAUUACUGGGCGUAAAGCGUACGUAGGCGGCUUGUUAAGUCUGAUGUGAAAUACCUCGGCUCAACUGGGGAACUGCAUUGGAAACUGACAGGCUAGAGCAUCGGAGAGGAGAGUGGAAUUCCUGGUGUAGCGGUGGAAUGCGUAGAUAUCAGGAGGAACACCGAAGGCGAAGGCAGCUCUCUGGACGAUUGCUGACCCUGAGGGACGAAAGCUAGGGGAGCGAACAGGAUUAGAUA